UCCCUGGUGGUCCAGUGGUGAAGACUGUGCUUUCAAUGCAGGGGCUUGGGUUCAAUCCCUGGUCAGGGAA
rnacentral:tRNA from 1 species